CCUACGGGAGGCAGCAGUGAGGAAUAUUGGUCAAUGGACGGGAGUCUGAACCAGCCAAGUAGCGUGAAGGAUGACUGCCCUAUGGGUUGUAAACUUCUUUUAUCUGGGAAUAAAAUGUUCCACGUGUGGGAUUUUGUAUGUACCCUAUGAAUAAGGAUCGGCUAACUCCGUGCCAGCAGCCGCGGUAAUACGGAGGAUCCGAGCGUUAUCCGGAUUUAUUGGGUUUAAAGGGAGCGUAGGUGGAUUGUUAAGUCAGUUGUGAAAGUUUGCGGCUAAACCGUGAAAUUGCCGUUGAAACUGGCAGCCUUGAGUGCAGUAGAGGUAGGCGGAAUGCGUGGUGUAGCGGUGAAAUGCUUAGAUAUCACGCAGAACUCCGAUUGCGAAGGCAGCUCACUGGACUGCAACUGACACUGAGGCUCGAAAGUGUGGGUAGCAAACAGGAUUAGAUACCCGAGUAGUC
rnacentral:rRNA from 1 species